GGCGGCGUAGCUCAGCGGUAGAGCACAGCCCUCAUAAAGCUGGGGUCGGUGGUUCGAACCCACCCGCCACUGCCA
rnacentral:tRNA from 1 species